AUUGAACGCUGGCGGCAUGCCUUACACAUGCAAGUCGAGCGAAUGAAGUUCCUUCGGGAACGGAUUUAGCGGCGGACGGGUGAGUAACACGUGGGCAACCUGCCUCAUAGAGGGGAAUAGCCUUCCGAACGGAAGAUUAAUACCGCAUAAGAUUGUAGCUUCGCAUGAGGCAGCAAUUAAAGGAGCAAUCCGCUAUGAGAUGGGCCCGCGGCGCAUUAGCUAGUUGGUGAGGUAACGGCUCACCAAGGCGACGAUGCGUAGCCGACCUGAGAGGGUGAUCGGCCACAUUGGGACUGAGACACGGCCCAGACUCCUACGGGAGGCAGCAGUGGGGAAUAUUGCACAAUGGGGGAAACCCUGAUGCAGCAACGCCGCGUGAGUGAUGACGGUCUUCGGAUUGUAAAGCUCUGUCUUCAGGGACGAUAAUGACGGUACCUAACCAGAAAGCCACGGCUAACUACGUGCCAGCCGCCGCAGUAACAC
rnacentral:rRNA from 1 species